rnacentral:rRNA from 1 species
UACGUAGGCAGCGAGCGUUGUUCGGAGUUACUGGGCGUAAAGGGUAUGUAGGCGGUUUUCUAAGUUUGGUGUGAAAUCUCCCGGCUCAACCGGGAGGGUGCGCCGAAAACUGGGAGACUAGAGUGCGGGAUGGGAGAGUAGAAUUCCUGGUGUAGCGGUGAAAUGCGUAGAUAUCAGGAGGAAUACCGGUGGUGUAGACGGCUCUCUGGACCGCCACUGACGCUGAGACACGAAAGCGUGGGUAGCAAACAGG